AAUUGGUAUGGAUAUAAUUGUGCAAACAAGUGCGGUUUAUGCAAAUCUUUUGAAUGUAACAAAGUAACUGGAGAAUGUAUCAACGGAUGUGUUAAUAACUUGAAAAUAUUUUACCUGCCACCAUUGUGUCAUAUAGGCUUAGAUAAGCUCACAGAACCUGAAAUUGUCUCUAUCACUUCAACAAGCAUCCGAAUUAAACAUUCUAUAAUGUGGAAAGAGGAAUAUGAAAAAAUACAAAUAACUUAUUCGUUNGCUAUUACGGGAGAAAAUGAUUAUAUUUUUACGCAGUCAUGGAAUAGACUGUUUCAAAAUAUGACAUAUUUGAUCGGAUACUUCAACAAUUUAAAUUCUGGUUCUGUUUAUUCAGUCAAAUGUAUAUUACUUGCAGAGAAUGAAAUAAUUGAAAACAAAUGGCAAAGUGUGGAAACUG